rnacentral:sRNA from 1 species
GCUGUGCCUACUCCGACGGGAGGAAAACGAGUUUCCCUGACUCACUGGCACGGCUUCCUAUAUUCAGGG